UCCCUGGUGGCUCAGAUGGUAAAGAAUCUGCCUGCAAUGCAGGAGACCUGGGUUCGAUCCCUGGUUUGGAAG
rnacentral:tRNA from 1 species